GGUUCCCGUACGAUCAAGGAAGUUAAGCAACGUCUAGUCUGGUCAGUAUCUAGAUGGGUGACCGCUUGGGAAUACCAGGUGACGUAC
rnacentral:rRNA from 1 species